GAUGAACGCUAGCGGCAGGCCUAAUACAUGCAAGUCGAACGGUGUAGCAAUACACAGUGGCGCACGGGUGCGUAACACGUAUGCAACCUACCUUACAUUGGGGGAUAGCCUUUCGAAAGGGAGAUUAAUACCGCAUAAGACAGUAACUAGGCAUCUAGUAGCUGUUAAAGAUUUAUCGAUGUAAGCUGGGCAUGCGUCCAAUUAGUUAGUUGGCGAGGUAAUGGCUCACCAAGACGAUGAUUGGUAGGGGAACUGAGAGGUCAAUCCCCCACACUGGCACUGAGAUACGGGACAGACUCCUACGGGAGGCAGCAGUAGGGAAUAUUGGGCAAUGGGCGCAAGCCUGACCCAGCCAUGCCGCGUGCAGGAAGAAGGCGCUAUGCGUUGUAAACUGCUUUUAUACAGGAAGAAACGACCCUUGCGAGGGGCAUUGACGGUACUGUAUGAAUAAGCACCGGCUAACUCCGUGCCAGCCGCCGCGUAAGAC
rnacentral:rRNA from 1 species